UCAAUUUCUUCUAUUAGACAGUGACUGAAACGACUCAUCUUCCAGAAAAGCUUCACCUCUACAUGGCAUGGAAGUAGCCGAAUAGUAUACUUAAAGCUGCGUAUUAACACUUGUUUUAUGUCAUCUGUCCCCAUAGAUGAUUCACCCAUUAAAGUACACAUGUGGAAUUUUCAUGAUUUAAAGGUAGCUUCGACAUAAGCGUCACUCCACCACUACUACAAAAAUGCCUACUAAUAGUGCACAAACGAUUCAGUCACUAAAAAGGGUGGAAGCUUUGAGGGACUUGAUGUUUCAGAAUUUAGUAUGCUCUAAUUUUAGAAACUGUCUAUAUUUUGUUUCAUUUCAUAUUCAAGAUACCAGAUAAGAGAUUGACAAAUCAAUGGUAAUCAUUUGUACUAACUACAUUUACUGUAACUAUUGGUAAUGUUUGCUCCUGUUCUGAUCAUCACACUUCUGCUGUACCUGCAGACAAACUAUGGUGAUAUUGAGUUUGGCUUCUUUCCUCAUGGAAACCCCAAUCGGGUCUUGAAAGAACAGAAGUUGCCUUUACCACGGAGUUCACUUUCAUAAGACCAAGAAUGAGGAGCUCCAAGAUCACUAUGAGACAAUGUUAAGUCUUCAUGAGACUAUCAUUAAUGCUCAAGGUGUGCAGAAUCAGCAAUCCAAAGAUCAAGUAUCCGCGGUCUUCGUGGAAAUACUCGAGAAGGUGUUAGCAUACAUCAAAGACAAGGAGAGUCGGGGUAAAACAAUUCCCAAAAGCUUAUCAAGCUAAUUAAAAAGCUGAGGGUCUAAUCUUGUGGCGCCUACUGUCUAUGGAUAGUUUUUCACGACUGAUAUAUGAUGAGUUGUUUUGACUAUUAUUGAAUUUGUUAGGUGUGCAGACUAUAAAGAUAGAUGUUGUUCUAUAAUGCUUAGCAUAUAAAAUCAACUUUUUGAAUUUGGUAUUUCUGCUGUUCAGCGAGUAUGUGAGUUAGAAAGAUUGGAAUGUCUUA